rnacentral:lncRNA from 1 species
CUUGUCUUGUUGCUAUUAUUGCAACAUAAUGUUUUCUAAAUUCAUAUUUUAAUAAUUUAUAUUACCUACUAUUGCAAACUUCCUGGUUUAAAACAACAGAAAUUUGAAACCUGCUUCCUUGGGUCAUAAUGAAAAAUCAGGAGGACUGUUCUUCCUCUGGAGAUAUUCAUAAAGAGCUCAUGGUUUGUCACUUCUAGUUUCUGGUGGAUGCCAGCAUUCUGUGGCUUGUGGCUGCAUCCCUCCCAUCUCUGCCUCUGUGGUUACACUGCCUUCUCUGACUCUACCUGUGUCAAACUUCCCUCUCUGCCUUUCUCUUAUAAAACACUCCUAGUGCCUUUCAGAGCCCACCUGGGUAAUCCAGGAUGUUCUCCCUAUCUCAAAAUUCUUAAUUCCAUCAGUAAAUUCUUUUUGCCAUAGGUAACCUUUAAAAAUUCCAGAGGUCAGGACCCAAUGCAUUUGGGAGUCAUAAUUCAGUUUACCACGACGGCUAUCAGAAUGGGGCCUGGGCCCACCCUUCCCCCAGGUUUAAUCCUGGUUCUGCACGGAAUGAGGUUUCAGUGCUUUGUCACAUACAAAAUGGGAUGGGAAUCCAUGGAGUUCUACCAAGAUAUUUCCCAAUAGGUCACUAGAUGUGGGUUAUGCUGGGACUACACCAUUUUGAAUGCCUGUUUAUAAAGAAAGGCAUGGAGAAAAUGAUGAUCUAAUGCUGAAGAAAAUUGCAGCCUUUAGGAUAGACAGUCCAGGCUUGGGGUGUAAAAAGACUUGUAGUUUUCACAGCCUGCUUAGUUCAGGGAAAUUUAUCUUGUGGUAUCAAGGCUGUUUCAGAGAUUCAUUCUUCAGCAUACCUCUUUGGACUGAGAAAGAGGGAUCAUUUGAAAAAUACAUUGAGAAAUGCAACUACCAGUUCUCCUGGAGACUAUUUAGUCUCAUGUGUUUGGAAUGCAGCAUUCACUGAGAGAACCAGCAGAGCCCUGACAGAGUAGAAUUUACUUUGGGACAAAGGUGGGA